CACGAUGAUGAUGAUGAUGAUGAUAAUGACGAGGAUGAUUGCAGUGCUGAUGAUCGUCAUUAGCAUCGGGCCAAUCGGACAUUAUGUCAGUCAGCCAGCUGUCAUACAAUUGCCGGGACUUGAAGGCAAACAAUCCCCGAAAUUCACUCGAACAACAAAUGAAAUGUGGAAUAAAGUGAAGUUGUAGUAAGGAGGAAUAAAAGUGGCUUCGCCAGCUCUUCGAGGCAAAUGAAGCGUUAAAAAACACAGAAAACACGGGAAAGAGCAGC